AUUGUUGGAAGUCUCUUUCCCCACAUUGCUCAUCCUGCUUCCCAGCCCGGGUUAGGGGCGGGGGACAGCUUAGUGAAACAACGAAACACCCUUUCUCAACAGCUGGCUGGCGGCUCCCACUCUCCUGGGGAUGUGGAGGUCUUCGGCACCCACAGACGGACUUACGGGUGUCUCCCUCCCUGUGCAACUCGGAUCCUAAGGCAACCUCCGCCAGUCUGUCCUCUCCCUUCUCUCGUGGAGCACCCUGCCUUGCUGACCGUUUCUGCCUCUGGCUUCCUGUGAUAGGCGGCGUCAUUUUCCUCACCUAAGUGCUGGCAGGUGCACUGCUGGCCACCAACGGUGACCAUGAAGAUGCUGACGGUGAAGACACUGGCCCUGUGCUUGGUUCUUGCUAAGUCAGCCUGGACCGAGGAGCAGGAUAAGGUAGUACACGGUGGUCCCUGCUUGAAGAAUUCUCACCCUUUCCAAGCUGCCCUCUACACCUCGGGUCACUUGCUGUGUGGUGGAGUCCUCAUCCAUCCACAGUGGGUGCUCACAGCUGCCCACUGCAAAAAAACGAAUCUGGAGGUGCGCUUGGGGAAACACAACCUACGGCAAACAGAGAAUUACCAAAGGCAGAUCUUUGUGGAUCGGACAGUUAUCCACCCCCGCUACAACCCUGACACCCAUGACAACGACAUCAUGAUGGUGCAUCUGAAAAAUGCAGUCAAAUUCUCUCAAAACAUACAGCCACUGCCCUUGAAGAAAGACUGCUCUGAGGAGAAUCUCAGCUGUCGGAUCCUGGGCUGGGGCAAGAUGGAAAAUGGUGACUUCCCAGACACCAUUCAGUGUGCUGAUGUCCAACUGGUGUCCCGGGAGGAGUGUGAGCGUGCCUACCCUGGUAAGAUCACCCGAAGCAUGGUGUGCGCAGGUGACAAGAUAGAAGGGAACGACACCUGCCAGGUGAGAACGGGAGCAGAGACCUGAAAUCAUCCACAGACAGGAAGACAGAGGCAUUGAGAAAGUCAGCUGGGAGAGCACUGGAGGAUAAGUCAGGAAGAGACUCCCUCUCACACAAGCAGAGACAGACAAGAAACAAGCCAGGCCAGGCGGUGGCAGCACACACCUUUAAUCCCAGCACUUGGGAGGCAGGGCCAGGCGGAUCUCUGUGAGUUCGAGGCCAGCCUGGACUACAGAGUGAGUUCCAGGAAAGGAGCCAAAGCUACACAGAGAAACCCUGUCUCGAAAAGAAAGGAAGGAAGGAAGGAAGGAAGGAAGGAAGGAAGGAAGGAAGGAAGGAAGGAAGGAAAGAAAGAAGGAAGAAGCAAGCCAGCUUGGGGCUGAGAGGAUGGUUCAGUCAGUAAAACACAUGCCAUGCAGGUAUGAAGACCUGAGCUGAAGGGCACAACGGCAUGUGCUUGUAUCCCAGUACUGGGGGACAGAGGUAAGCAGAUCCCUGGGGUUCACUGGCCAGCUAGCUCAGCCUAUUUGGUGAGCUGGGUCCAGUGAGUGACUCUGUCUCAAAAAACCACAGCAGGAAGGAUGCCUGCUGGCCUCCACAUGCACAUGAACACACCUGCAUGCACAUACACUCGCACGUGUUCACCUACACAAACACACACAAGGCACCCAGCAGAAACAGGAAGUUCAGACGCAAGGACAGAGAGGGAGACACCAAGAGCCAGACACUACAAUGGCUAGCCAAAUAUGAGUGAACCUAGUGAGCCUGAAAAUUUAAGAAACAGUUUCAAUGAAUGGCCACCUUGGGUGAAGAUUUGAACAAUUGGAGAGACUCAAGAGCCAAACAAAUGCUAGCCAUCCUUCCUCAGAGCUGCAGCACUGAAGCCCACUUGGACAUGGCUGAGCUCCAGAUGAGGGGGCAUCCCAGCCGCAAAGAGAGGGACUCUAUGCUUAUCCCUCAAAACCUGUAACCAGGCUGCUCUGGAACCCACUCACAAGCCUUGGCCCAUCUCCAGACUCACAGAAAUCCUUCUGUAUCAGCCCCUGGGGUAUUGGGAUGACAGGCAUGUACCACCAUACCCAUCUAGUCUCCAAUACCUUACCAGGAGCUUUCCUGACUGUUAUCCUUCCAGACUCCUUUUUAGCCAGAAUGAUUCUAGACCAUGGAGGGCUGAAAUCAACCUACUAAGAAAGCAAGGGUCGGGGGUGAGGAGGCCGAGAAAGUGAGACAAUGAUUUGGGAACAAAGAAAGAACAGGUAGACAUGGCUGGCCUGAGAACAGAGGACAGAGAACGUUCGUUUUUUGUUUUUUGUUUUUUGGAUUUUUUUGUUGUUGUUUUUUGUCUCCCCCUGGAGUCUCUGCCUUCCCCACCUCUCCCAAUGGUCUUAGCAUUUUUAUCUUUCCCUCUCUGUCUCCCUCUCCACCACUGAUACCCUUUACUUUUAUGGACCUUGGUGUCUCUCUCUCUGUCCUGUGAUCUCUUGUUGCAGUGAUGAGAACAAACAUCUGCUCACCCAAGACAGGGAACUAAUAACCGACCAAAGAAUGGCACUCAAGUCCAGUUUGGUGAAUCGAUGAGUCUUACUGAGGUUACUUACAGGAGCAGAAAUGACUCACUCCAGCCUGGAUGACAGCUCACCGAGUGUGGAGCACCCUGCACAGCCUGCGGGCAGCUCAGCAGGGUGAUUCUGGAGGUCCCCUGGUAUGUGGAGAUCAUCUCCGAGGCCUCGUGUCAUGGGGUAACAUGCCCUGUGGAUCAAAGAAGAAGCCGGGAGUUUACACUGAUGUCUGC